rnacentral:rRNA from 1 species
UACAGAGGGUGCGAGCGUUACUCGGAAUUACUGGGCGUAAAGCGCGCGUAGACGGUUUUGUAAGUCAGAUGUGAAAUCCCUGGGCUCAACCUGGGAACUGCAUUUGAGACUGCAUGGCUAGAGUAUCGAAGAGGGAAGUGGAAUUUCCGGUGUAGCGGUGAAAUGCGUAGAUAUCGGAAGGAACACCAGUGGCGAAAGCGACUUCCUGGUCGAAUACUGACGUUCAUGUGCGAAAGCGUGGGGAGCAAACAGG